rnacentral:rRNA from 1 species
ACCCAGACUCCUACGGGAGGCAGCAGUGGGGGAUAUUGCACAAUGGGGGGAACCCUGAUGCAGCGACGCCGCGUGGGUGAAGGAGCGUUUCGGCGCGUAAAGCCCUAUCGGCAGGGAAGAAGGAGGACGGUACCUGACUUAGAAGCCCCGGCUCACUACGUGCCAGCAGCCGCGGUAAUACGGAGGGGGCCAGCGUUAUCCGGGUUUAAGGGGUGUAAAGGGGGCGCAGCCGGCGAUGCAAGCCAGGGGUGAAAGCCCGGGGCCCAACCCCGGGACUGCUCUUGGAACUGCGUGGCUGGAGUGCAGGAGGGGCAGGCGGAAUUCCUGGUGUAGCGGUGAAAUGCGUAGAUAUCAGGAGGAACACCGGUGGCGAAGGCGGCCUGCUGGACUGCAACUGACGUUGAGGCCCGAAAGCGUGGGGAGCAAACAGGAUUAGAUACCCUUGUA